UUGAUCAAUCCUAAAAUAUCCUAUACCAAAUGGAAGCUGAACACAAACUCUAGGAGCAAGAAGCUCUCCAACAUUCAUCAUUGGAGUGUCCUUUUUGCAUUUCCCUCUUUCUUUCAAUUUUUGUUGUGAUUUUUUCUCAUUUUCAUUCUUUGUAUUUUGUUUUACUACAU
rnacentral:ribozyme from 13 species